UGAGGAAUAUUGGUCAAUGGACGGAAGUCUGAACCAGCCAAGUAGCGUGCAGGAUGACGGCCCUAUGGGUUGUAAACUGCUUUUAUGCGGGGAUAAAGUGGGCUACGUGUAGCCUAUUGCAGGUACCGCAUGAAUAAGGACCGGCUAAUUCCGUGCCAGCAGCCGCGGUAAUACGGAAGGUCCGGGCGUUAUCCGGAUUCAUUGGGUUUAAAGGGAGCGUAGGCCGCCUUUUAAGCGUGUUGUGAAAUGUCCUGGCUCAACCAGGGCACUGCAGCGCGAACUGGAGGGCUUGAGUGCGCACGACGCAGGCGGAAUUCGUGGUGUAGCGGUGAAAUGCUUAGAUAUCACGAAGAACCCCGAUUGCGAAGGCAGCUUGCGAGAGCGCUACUGACGCUGAAGCUCGAAGGUGCGGGUAUCGAACAGG
rnacentral:rRNA from 1 species